rnacentral:rRNA from 1 species
AUUGAACGCUGGCGGCAGGCUUAACACAUGCAAGUCGAGCGGAGUGAUGGUGCUUGCACUAUCACUUAGCGGCGGACGGGUGAGUAAUGCUUAGGAAUCUGCCAUUUAGUGGGGGACAACAUUCCGAAAGGAAUGCUAAUACAGCAUACGUCCUACGGGAGAAAGCAGGGGAUCUUCGGACCUUGCGCUAAAUGAUGAGCCUAAGUCGGAUUAGCUAGUUGGUGGGGUAAAGGCCUACCAAGGCGACGAUCUGUAGCGGGUCUGAGAGGAUGGUCCGCCACACUGGGACUGAGACACGGCCCAGACUCCUACGGGAGGCAGCAGUGGGGAAUAUUGGACAAUGGGCGGAAGCCUGAUCCAGCCAUGCCGCGUGUGUGAAGAAGGCCUUUUGGUUGUAAAGCACUUUAAGCGAGGAGGAGGCUACUAGUACUAAUACUACUGGAUAGUGGACGUUACUCGCAGAAUAAGCACCGGCUAACUCUGUGCCAGCCGCCGCCGUAA